GGCGAAGUGGUGGAAUUGGCAGACACGCUGUGUUCAGGGCGCAGUGUCCACAAGACGUGGGGGUUCAAAUCCCCCCUUCGGCA
rnacentral:tRNA from 1 species